rnacentral:rRNA from 1 species
UUACCCGCUGAACUUAAGCAUAUCAAUAAGCGGAGGAAAAGAAACCAACAGGGAUUGCCCCAGUAACGGCGAGUGAAGCGGCAGCAGCUCAAAUUUGAAAUCUGGGGCCCUCGGCCUCCGAGUUGUAAUUUGGAGGGGCACCUUCGGGGGGGAGCGCCGGCCCAUGUUCCUUGGAACAGGACGUCACAGAGGGUGAGAAUCCCGUGCCCGGCCGGAUGACUCCUCCCGUGUGAAGGACCUUCGACGAGUCGAGUUGUUUGGGAAUGCAGCUCCAAGUGGGUGGUAAAUUUCAUCUAAAGCUAAAUACCGGCGGGAGACCGAUAGCGCACAAGUAGAGUGAUCGAAAGAUGAAAAGCACUUUGAAAAUAGAGUCAAAAAGUACGUGAAAUUGUUGAAAGGGAAGCGCUUGAGACCAGACUCAGACCCGAGCAAACACCGCGCCCCUCGGGGCCGUGCAAUUGCCCGGGGAUGGGCCAGCAUCAGUUGGCGUGGCGGGACAAAGGCGCGGGAAAUGUGGCUCCCCUCGGGGAGUGUUAUUAGCCCCGCGCUCAAUGCCGCCGACGCCGACUGAGGACCGCGCCUCGGCUAGGAUGCUGGCUUAAUGGUCUUCAGC